GGUAAUACGAAGGGUGCAAGCGUUACUCGGAAUUACUGGGCGUAAAGCGUGCGUAGGUGGUUGUUUAAGUCUGUUGUGAAAGCCCUGGGCUCAACCUGGGAAUUGCAGUGGAUACUGGGCGACUAGAGUGUGGUAGAGGGUAGUGGAAUUCCCGGUGUAGCAGUGAAAUGCGUAGAGAUCGGGAGGAACAUCCAUGGCGAAGGCAGCUACCUGGACCAACACUGACACUGAGGCACGAAAGCGUGGGGAGCAAAC
rnacentral:rRNA from 1 species